AAAUCUUCCCAGAUCAUUGAAUCAUAGGAUGGUUUCGAUUGGAAGGGACCUUAAAGACCAUCUAGUUCCAACCCCCCUGCCAUGGGCAGGAACACCUUCCACUAGACCAGGUUGCUCAAAGCCCC